ensembl:lncRNA
CUCUGCUGUCCUCAUUGCCCCCCCCAAAAAAAUUUCUGGGCCAGCCUUCACCUCUGGACUGCGCAGCAUGGUGUACCUCCCCUGCAGUGGGAAGCCCCAGAUGCUCAGGUCACUUUGCUGGCUGUGUUGCACGGCGUCGCUCUUCGGCGGCGGGGACGGGGUAAAUGGUGCAAGGGAUGACGCGGCGCGCAGCUCGGCUUUGCACUGAGCAAUUUCCUCUUCGAGCUGUUUGCUCAUCUCCAGGGAUGAACGGUAAAGCGCCCAAAUCCUGGCCUCUUCGGCGGCGCUCAUGGAUACCUGCUGCUUCCGCAUUUUUGGCGAAGUAUUCUGUUACGAAGCGUAGACGGAGACAAGCGCGGGUGAGCGGAGAGAUGGCGUGUGACUGAACACGGAACGAGAAUCGAAUCGGGACAGAGCAGAUAAUGGACUGCAGAUGGGCAUUUGAUGGACCGUGGCAUAGCUGUGGAGAGCAAGGACUGAGUGCUUGGCUGCAGACCCAGGCACGGUGUGUUCAAACAUUCAUUCUGGUGCCUCCCACCACUGAGGCAUGAAGAGGGAGCAACAUUAUUUCUCAGGGCUAUCUUUUACAGAGCUAAUCCCUCCAUGGUGCUGCUGAGGAACACAAUAGGUGCAUGCACUCCCAAGUUCACAAAUAAAUAAGCAUACUGUUCCU